UACGAAGGGGGCUAGCGUUGCUCGGAAUCACUGGGCGUAAAGCGCACGUAGGCGGCUUUCUAAGUCAGGGGUGAAAUCCUGGAGCUCAACUCCAGAACUGCCUUUGAUACUGGAGAGCUUGAGUUCGGGAGAGGUGGGUGGAACUGCGAGUGUAGAGGUGAAAUUCGUAGAUAUUCGCAAGAACACCAGUGGCGAAGGCGGCUCACUGGCCCGAUACUGACGCUGAGGUGCGAAAGCGUGGGGAGCAAACAGG
rnacentral:rRNA from 1 species